rnacentral:sRNA from 1 species
GCUGGGCAUGAUGGUGCACGCCUGUAAUCCCAGCAGCUUGGGAGGCUGAGACAGGAGAAUAGCAAGUUCAAAGCCAGCUUCAACGGUGGUGAGGCAAUAAGCAACUCAGUGAGACCCUGUCUCUA